GACGAACGCUGGCGGCGUGCUUAACACAUGCAAGUCGAACGGAAAGGCCCUGCUUUUGUGGGGUGCUCGAGUGGCGAACGGGUGAGUAACACGUGAGUAACCUGCCCUUGACUUUGGGAUAACUUCAGGAAACUGGGGCUAAUACCGGAUAGGAGCUCCUGCUGCAUGGUGGGGGUUGGAAAGUUUCGGCGGUUGGGGAUGGACUCGCGGCUUAUCAGCUUGUUGGUGGGGUAGUGGCUUACCAAGGCUUUGACGGGUAGCCGGCCUGAGAGGGUGACCGGCCACAUUGGGACUGGGAUACAGCCCAGACUCCUACGGGAGGCAGCAGUGGGGAAUAUUGCACAAUGGGCGGAAGCCUGAUGCAGCAACGCCGCGUGCGGGAUAGCGGCCUUCGGGUUGUAAACCGCUUUCGCCUGUGACGAAGCGUGAGUGACGGUAAUGGGUAAAGAAGCACCGGCUAACUACGUG
rnacentral:rRNA from 1 species